rnacentral:lncRNA from 1 species
AUUACAACCGAACCGUUCAUAUUCUUCACAACCAGAAACUAAACUCAGGUCCCAUAUUAGCAACUUCGUUACAUGAAGGUAGCAAGCAGGUAGGAAAAGCAAAAGGCAACUCAUGUCCCAACUUAGCAUGAAUCCUGGCGUCCGGAGGCACACCAUUUCACAUUUUAUUCUCUGCAUAGACAAGCAGCGGGGCCGUUCCACGACCGCAAAGGCCACGGGAAGGAACCAUGGAGCGGAGAUGACGCUCUACUGGGUCUUGAACAUGUGGCGGAUCAGGUCAACAACGCGGUUGCUGUAGCCCCACUCGUUGUCGUACCAGGAGACGAGCUUGACGAAGUUGUCGUUCAGAGCGAUUCCAGCCUUGGCGUCGAAGAUGCUCGACCUAAGUGGAAACAAUGAAACAGGAAAAAAAAUGAAUAACACAGCACAGGAACAAAACAACAUUCACUAGAAUUCAUCGUAGCACUAUAGUGGUGUGCCCUAGAAUAUCCGCUGGUUCCUAGAACUUGGAGGACCCAAAGCAAAUUUCGUGUACCUGCUGUCACCAGUGAAGUCAGUGGAAACC